UACGAGGGGGGCGAGCGUUGUUCGGAAGUAUUGGGCGUAAAGGGCGCGUAGGCGGUCGGAUAAGGCUUGUGUGAAAUCUUCGGGCUCAACUCGAAGUCUGCACAGGAAACUAUCUGGCUUGAGUGUGGGAGAGGUGAGUGGAAUUCCUGGUGUAGCGGUGAAAUGCGUAGAUAUCAGGAGGAACACCUGUGGCGAAAGCGGCUCACUGGACCACAACUGACGCUGAGGCGCGAAAGCUAGGGGAGCAAACAGG
rnacentral:rRNA from 1 species